CGGAGGGUGCAAGCGUUAUCCGGAUUUACUGGGUUUAAAGGGUGUGUAGGCGGGUCUUUAAGUCAGUGGUGAAAUCUCCGAGCUCAACUUGGAAACUGCCAUUGAUACUAUUGAUCUUGAAUUCUGUUGAGGUGGGCGGAAUAAGUCAUGUAGCGGUGAAAUGCAUAGAUAUGACUUAGAACCCCGAUUGCGAAGGCAGCUCACUAAGCAGAUAUUGACGCUGAGGCACGAAAGCGUGGGGAUCAAACAGGAUUAGAUACCCUGGUAGUCCACGCCCUAAACGAUGAUUACUCGACAUACGCGAUACACAGUGUGUGUCUGAGCGAAAGCAUUAAGUAUCCCACCUGGGAAGUACGACCGCAAGGUUG
rnacentral:rRNA from 1 species